rnacentral:snRNA from 1 species
AGAAGAGAGGCUAAUCACACAGAGGAAUGUGCCAUCCCAUUGAUCACUAGGACUAAUUCUCUUCAUUUCACUGAAUAGAGUGCUUUCCCUAUCACACCCCCACUGACCCAUCUGUGUCCCUCAUGAUGCUGUGUGCUCUGUCAAAGAGGACAACCUUACAGAAGAGGAGGACCCGUCUUCCACAUUACAAGAACAUUCUUUGCUGAUCUGCACUCUCCGCCUAAAGCAUCCAAAGAAGGUCUUGGGGAAAGAGAACAGAGAAAAGAUGUUCAACCAUGAUUAAUAGUUUUAGGAAUU